rnacentral:lncRNA from 1 species
CUCCCCCAGAUGGUGGCUCAUCUUUUUCUCAAGAUCAAGGACAAGACGGCUUAAGAGAUAAUGACUGGGAGUUUUGCUUUGGCCAUACUAACACUAGUAAUACUAUAGGUAACUGGCGUCAUCACCACUAUGCUGAUCAUAGUUCAUUAGAGUGAAAAAAAUCCUAGAAAUAGUGAUCAAAAUCAAUGAUAAACAAGUCUAGACCCAAACCAAACCCUAUCCACCU